rnacentral:rRNA from 1 species
CCUACGGGAGGCAGCAGUGGGGAAUCUUGCACAAUGGGGGAAACCCUGAUGCAGCGACGCCGCGUGAGUGAAGAAGUAUCUCGGUACGUAAAGCUCUAUCAGCAGGGAAGAAAAUGACGGUACCUGACUAAGAAGCCCCUGCUAACUACGUGCCAGCAGCCGCGGUAAUACGUAGGGGGCAAGCGUUCUCCGGAUUUACUGGGUGUAAAGGGAGCGUAGACGGCAGAACAAGUCUGGAGUGAAAUCCCGGGGCUUAACCCGGGAACUGCUUUGGAAACUGUGCGGCUGGAGUGCAGGAGGGGUGAGUGGAACUCCUAGUGUAGCGGUGGAAUGCGUAGAUAUUAGGAGGAACACCAGUGGCGAAGGCGGCUUACUGGACUGUAACUGACGUUGAGGCUCGAAAGCGUGGGGAGCAAACAGGAUUAGAUACCCCGGUAGUC